GUUAACGUCAAGGCUCAUGGGUAUUAACCGUGAACUUUUCCUCACUGCUGAAAGUGCUUUACAACCCUCGGGCCUUCUUCACACACGCGGCAUUGCUGGAUCAGGCUUUCGCCCAUUGUCCAAUUAUUCCCCA
rnacentral:rRNA from 1 species